rnacentral:rRNA from 1 species
CCUACGGGAGGCUGCAGUGAGGAAUAUUGGUCAAUGGGCGUAAGCCUGAACCAGCCAAGUCGCGUGAGGGAUGAAGGUUCUAUGGAUCGUAAACCUCUUUUAUAAGGGAAUAAAGUGUGGGACGUGUCCUGUUUUGUAUGUACCUUAUGAAUAAGGAUCGGCUAACUCCGUGCCAGCAGCCGCGGUAAUACGGAGGAUCCGAGCGUUAUCCGGAUUUAUUGGGUUUAAAGGGUGCGUAGGCGGCCUUUUAAGUCAGCGGUGAAAGUCUGUGGUUCAACCAUAGAAUUGCAGUUGAAACUGGGAGGCUUGAGUAUGUGUGAGGCAGGCGGAAUGCGAGGUGUAGCGGUGAAAUGCUUAGAUAUCACGCAGAACCCCGAUUGCGAAGGCGACCUGACAAGCCAUAACUGACGCUGAUGCACGAAAGCGUGGGGAUCAAACAGGAUUAGAUACCCCUGUAGUC